rnacentral:rRNA from 1 species
GACGAACGCUGGCGGCGUGCUUAACACAUGCAAGUCGAACGGCAAGGCCCUGCUUUUGUGGGGUGCUCGGGUGGCGAACGGGUGAGUAACACGUGAGUAACCUGCCCUUGUCUUUGGGAUAACUUCAGGAAACUGGGGCUAAUACCGGAUAGGAGCUCCUGCUGCAUGGUGGGGGUUGGAAAGUUUCGGCGGUUGGGGAUGGACUCGCGGCUUAUCAGCUUGUUGGUGGAGUAGUGGCUUACCAAGGCUUUGACGGGUAGCCGGCCUGGGAGGGUGACCGGCCACAUUGGGACUGAGAUACGGCCCAGACUCCUACGGGAGGCAGCAGUGGGGAGUAUUGCACAAUGGGCGGAAGCCUGAUGCAGCAACGCCGCGUGCGGGAUGACGGCCUUCGGGUUGUAAACCGCUUUCGCCUGUGACGAAGCGUGAGUGACGGUAAUGAGUAAAGAAGCACCGGCUAACUACGUG